UACAGAGGUCUCGAGCGUUAGGCGGAAUCACUGGGCUUAAAGCGUGUGUAGGUGGAUCGUUAAGUACCUUGUGAAAUCCCACGGCUCAACCGUGGAACUGCUGGGUAUACUGGUUGUCUUGAGCCAGCUAGGGGCGAGCGGAACAGACGGUGGAGCGGUGAAAUGCGUAGAUAUCGUCUGGAACGCCGAAGGUGAAAACAGCUCGCUGGGGCUGCGCUGACGCUGAGACACGAAAGCCAGGGGAGCGAACGGG
rnacentral:rRNA from 1 species